UAUCGUGUAAGGCUCAGUCAUCACGCGCUCUCGGAUUCUCACCGAAGAGCGUAGUCUGGUAGCGUCACUCAAAUCCGCUGUUCUCGCUAUGUUCGUCAUGUUUUCUGGUCCAAACCAACCAAAGACUGGGUGGAAUGAAAAUAUCCAGAAGGCUUUCUGUCAAGUCCUGCUAUCGCAUGGUUCGGGCCAUUUUACAGCCUCGCAUCACCCCAACUGACCCCUUGAUGACCACUUGACAAAAUGGAGGGGAGGGUGAGGACAAAAGAGAGCUGACCAAGGAGGAUGAGCGGUGGGAUGAAAGGAGGAGGGAGAGGUAACUGAGAGGAGAGGUAACAGUGGGAUGAGAAGGAAAAAAUUGCACAAAGACCGAUGCGGCAUGCCAAAGUAGUGAGGUCAUGAGCCCUUGCUUUGCAUCAAAUUCAUUCCAAGCAUAUUUUAUUUUAUUUUAUUUAUUAAGCUUAUUAAGAUGAAUGCUGUCCAUUAGGAUUAUUUUAAAAUUUAAACCAACAGAGACUGACUAUAUCAGACAAGGUCACUUCUUAAGUCGUGACAUACUUUACUGAUAAAAGCCCUCCGCUUCUCUCACUUCUGCCCCCAAACUCUCUAUGGAAGCAAUUACAUCAUAUUAAAAGGUCUAAAGAGGCAUCAGUAAUCAGAGGACAUCUCAAACACAACACAAAUUAAACCCAUGGGCUAAUUGUUGCACAACUCAUUCUAAAAAGAUGGAAAUAAUUGUAACCAGGAGGAUGGAAUAUUCUGUGUACUUUUUAGGGAAGUUAUGGAGAUUACAACAACAUGUACAUAUUCAAGGAUCCCCCAAAGCAACAUGACUGAUCCACAGAUUAGAUAAUGUUUCUAAUUUACUUUUUAUGUGUAUAUCUCCUCAAACAGGGCUGGUAGAAAAGUAGGGGUUGUAACAAGUACACUGGAAUUUUACUUCAGAUUUAUGCGUCACAUUUAAAUGUAACACUGGGAAUAAUUUGGACUCACCAUAAAUGUUUUAUAUGUGUUCAAGCAAUACUUUUCUCCUUUCCCAAAAUAACAGACAAUUUUAGUAACAGCAGGCAGAAAAAAAAAAAAAAGUUUGGUUUUGACUACAUAGUUUUAUAUGUAAUGUUUGGUAACACUUUACAAUAAGGUUCAUUAGUUAACAUGAACUAAGAAUGAACAAUUCUUCUACAGCAUUUAUUAAUCGUAGUCAUUGUUAAUUUCAGAAUUUACUAAUGCAUUAUUAAAAUCACAAGUUGUGGUAACAUUAGUAAAUACACUGUGAACUAUCAUGAACAAACAAUGACUGUACUUUUAUGAACAUUAACAAAGAUUAAUAAAUACUGUAAUAAAUGCAUUGUUCAUUGCUCGUCCACGUUAGUUAAAACAUUAACUAAUGUUAACAAAUGACAUCUUAUUGUAAAGUGUUACCUUUUUUAUUUUAAAUAGUUUAUAUAUUAUAUAUUUUUGUAUAAUAUUAUUUUUAAUGUAUUUUCUGCACAAAUUACAUGUUUUUGAGUAAUAGCAAUAUUUCAAAAUCUCUCUGAUAUUGCUGUCUCCUUGAUGUUCAAUGUCAAUGAAGCAGCUGACUCCAGGUUAAAAUACAUGUUCUGCUGAAACAGCAAAUGCAUAAAAACAUUACUCAGAAUAACUUUUUAUAACUGCUAAGGUUGUUUUAAGAAUUUUAUAAGGUAAAUCAAAUGUAAUGUACCACUGAAAUCAAA